GUAGGUGGCAAGCGUUGUCCGGAGUUAUUGGGCGUAAAGCGCGCGCAGGCGGUCCUUUAAGUCUGAUGUGAAAGCCCACGGCUCAACCGUGGAGGGUCAUUGGAAACUGGGGGACUUGAGUACAGAAGAGGAAAGCGGAAUUCCACGUGUAGCGGUGAAAUGCGUAGAGAUGUGGAGGAACACCAGUGGCGAAGGCGGCUUUCUGGUCUGUAACUGACGCUGAGGCGCGAAAGCGUGGGGAGCAAACAGGGAUUAGAUACCCUGGUAGUCCACGCCGUAAACGAUGAGUGCUAAGUGUUAGGGGGUUUCCCGCCCCUUAGUGCUGCAGCUAACGCAUUAAGCACUCCGCCUGGGGAGUACGGCCGCAAGGCUG
rnacentral:rRNA from 1 species